rnacentral:rRNA from 1 species
UUGAUGGAGAGUUUGAUCCUGGCUCAGGACGAACGCUGGCGGCGUGCUUAACACAUGCAAGUCGAGCGGAAAGGCCCCUUCGGGGGUACUCGAGCGGCGAACGGGUGAGUAACACGUGAGCA